UACGUAGGGUGCGAGCGUUAAUCGGAAUUACUGGGCGUAAAGCGUGCGCAGGCGGUUCGUUAUGUCCGAUGUGAAAGCCCCGAGCUCAACUUGGGAAUGGCAUUGGAAACUGGCGGGCUGGAGUGUGGCAGAGGGGGGUGGAAUUCCACGUGUAGCAGUGAAAUGCGUAGAGAUGUGGAGGAACACCGAUGGCGAAGGCAGCCUCCUGGGCCAGCACUGACGCUCAUGCACGAAAGCGUGGGGAGCAAACAGG
rnacentral:rRNA from 1 species